rnacentral:rRNA from 1 species
GUCGAGAAUCUUGCACAAUGCACGAAAGUGUGAUGCAGCGACGCCGCGUGAAGGAUGAAGGCCCUUGGGUCGUAAACUUCUUUUAGAGGGGAAGAAUCAAUGACGGUACCCUCUGAAUAAGCCACGGCUAACUACGUGCCAGCAGCCGCGGUAAUACGUAGGUGGCAAGCGUUGUCCGGAUUUACUGGGUAUAAAGGGUGCGCAGGCGGGCCUUUAAGUAAGAAGUGAAAGGUGGGAGCUCAACUCCUACACUGCUUCUUAUACUGGGGGCCUUGAGUCUUGGAGGGGGAAGCGGAACGACACGUGUAGCGGUGAAAUGCGUUGAUAUGUGUCGGAACACCAAUGGCGAAAGCAGCUUCCUGGACAAGUACUGACGCUCAGGCACGAAAGCCAAGGUAGCAAACAGGAUUAGAUACCCUGGUAGUCUUGGCCAUAAACGAUGAUCACUAGGUGUCGGGGGUCUCCUCGGUGCCGCAGCUAACGCAUUAAGUGAUCCACCUGGGGACUACGGCCGCAAGGU